AGGAGCAUCUAAGAGCAACUUGUUUUGUUUGACAUUGAAUCAGGUCCAUUGCACCUGUGAAAAUGAAGGAAUAUGAAGUAAAAGCUAGCAGAAUAAGCAGCAGCACAUGUCUCUGCACCUGAAGCCUUUGUUUUAUUUGGCUGCAGAAUGUGGGUGAGUAAACCUUAAUUCAAGUUAAAUAUUCUAAGAGAAACUGACGAAUUGGAAACAUGUUUUUACUUAAAAUGCCUAUUACUAGCAUCCAGUGUGGAAUUUAGUUCUGUUCAGAACAUUGUGUCAUGACAUUACCGGUGAGAGGUCAUAUUGUUGUGGCUCAUCAGUGCAUCUGUUUCAUUGCUGUCAGUCAGAUGAGGCGAUCAAAACCACUUUCAGACCUGUGGGUUAAAGAGCUGCAGUGUUGUUGAUCUUCUCAUCCAACUCCCAACAAGAAGAGCUGGAAUCAGGGGGUGAAGCCAGCACUCAGAUGGGCCAAAACCUGCUCCAUGAAUUGUAGCCCUGCCAGCUCCUGAGAGGCUCUUCGGUUUCCACUCUGACUGCUUGUUUUGAUUUGGGCUCUUAAAGUAAUCUACAAUAACGUCAACAUUUGCCUUCCUAUUGCCACGUGGUCGACCGCACUGCCAUUGUGUUGAAAUUAGCGGCCCUUCCAGGCGCUAACAGACCUCUUCCAUUUAAAAUAAACACUCCACUUGAAUUUCUCUAACAGCAUAUGCUUGCCAAAAAAACAAAACAAAACCAAAAAAACUGGUUUCUCCGAUUAUUACAGCAUCGAGGAGACAAACAGGAGCAAAGGCCUCAACAGCACCUGAAGUGAGCACAUGGAGGAGUCAGAGGGAGCGAAGGGGAGAUAAGACGUUUUUCUUCUCCUAGUGGGUCCAGUGGGUCCAGUGAUAGCAGAGGUCCUCUGGUUUGGCCCGGCUCGAUAAGACUGGUCUUGCCAUCCUGUGGGGCUUAUCAGCUGCUGCAGUGAGUCUCAACAGUUAGUCCCAGAGACAGAAAAUGUUUACGCGUUUGGCGUCUGUUUGGCGACUUCAACUGUAUUUGGAUGUAAAACGAGAAAAAAAACUGUUAUAGAUUUUAACUUUCUAGAUUGCAUCGCUAAAACUCAGUUAAAUCAAUAAGAAAAUUUACAUUUUAUGCAAGGAAAAAAAAACAAUGUGAAUGUUGAGUGCCGAAAACUGAAAGUAGCAAAACACCAGCUAAAAACUAAAAAAGUAGCUAAUGGCAGCAACAUGUUCACCAAAACCUAACCUCAAGAAGUGAGCUAAAGUAGCAACAGACUAGCUAAAAGAUAAAACUAACCAAAGGGCAGUUUAAUAAAUUGGCUGUUUCAAAAUAAAGCCUGAACAAAAGAACAGUCGAGGAAAAAUAAAAGAAGAAAAUAAGCUGGCGGAAGCAGAAAAACAGGCAUUUUUACAGACAGGAAGUCGAACAGAGAUUAGUUACAUCACUGAGUCCAGACUGAAGACAGUUCAUUUAGUCUCUGCUGUUAUCUCCCAUCAUCAACAGUCUCUUUGGAUCAGAAACAGGAUGCAGACAAAACUAGAGCUUCAUCUGUCUGAAACCGACAGAAGACAUCAGGCCUUAAUGCGGAAAAGUUUAUUUAUUUUUCCUUAUUUCAGCUGAUUCAAAUUAAAUGCUCAAUAAGAGAAAUUAACUUCUACAAAUUUUCACUGGAAAAAAACAAAUUGAAAAGCUUUUUUGUAUCAAUAUUACCAUAAAUAUUUUUAUUUUUGUUAAUAAAAAGGACAUUUUUUGCACAGUCUUUGAAAAGGAGCACUAAUUUA